rnacentral:rRNA from 1 species
AUUGAACGCUGGCGGCAUGCUUUUCACAUGCAAGUCGAACGGUAACAGGUCUUCGGAUGCUGACGAGUGGCGAACGGGUGAGUAAUACAUCGGAACGUGCCCGAUCGUGGGGGAUAACGAAGCGAAAGCUUUGCUAAUACCGCAUAAGAUCUACGGAUGAAAGCAGGGGACCGCAAGGCCUUGCGCGAACGGAGCGGCCGAUGGCAGAUUAGGUAGUUGGUGGGAUAAAAGCUUACCAAGCCGACGAUCUGUAGCUGGUCUGAGAGGACGACCAGCCACACUGGGACUGAGACACGGCCCAGACUCCUACGGGAGGCAGCAGUGGGGAAUUUUGGACAAUGGGCGAAAGCCUGAUCCAGCCAUGCCGCGUGCAGGAUGAAGGCCUUCGGGUUGUAAACUGCUUUUGUACGGAACGAAAAGACUCUUUCUAAUAAAGAGGGUCCAUGACGGUACCGUAAGAAUAAGCACCGGCUAACUCCGUGCCAGCAGCCGCCGUAAAAC